UACGAAGGGAGCUAGCGUUGUUCGGAAUCACUGGGCGUAAAGCGCACGUAGGCGGUGCAUUUGGUCAGGCGUGAAAUUCCUGGGCUCAACCUCGAGACGUCGAUGGAAACCGCAUGGCUAGAGUCCGGAAGAGGAGAGUGGAAUUCCUGGUGUAGCGGUGAAAUGCGCAGAUAUCAGGAAGAACACCCGUGGCGAAGGCGGCUCUCUGGGACGGUACUGACGCUGAGACGCGAAAGCGUGGGGAGCGAACAGG
rnacentral:rRNA from 1 species